rnacentral:lncRNA from 1 species
CACAGUGACUCACCCUCUUUGUGCUAGAUUAAGAAGAUGCUAUCUGUGUUUUUUGACUGGGCUUGAUUGUUAUCAAAGUGGGUGAUGAACAGCCUUCUAAGCUGUUCAAAUGAGUGAAUGGACUCCAGUUGGAGUCCCAAACACCACACUCAUGCUGACUUCUUAAGGAUGUUCGGGAAGAUGAGGUAAAGGAGCACAUUCGAGCAUCGUAGAGCAUCAUGAGGGCUUUAUAGCUCUUCAAGUGGUUGAUG